UGGGGAAUAUUGGGCAAUGGGCGCAAGCCUGAACCAGCCAAGUAGCGUGAGGGAAGACUGCCCUAUGGGUUGUAAACCUCUUUUGUGCGGGGAUAAAGUGUGGGACGUGUCCCAUAUUGCAGGUACCGCACGAAUAAGGACCGGCUAAUUCCGUGCCAGCAGCCGCGGUAAUACGGAAGGUCCGGGCGUUAUCCGGAUUUAUUGGGUUUAAAGGGAGCGCAAGCCGUCCUUUAAGCGUGCUGUGAAAUGCCGCGGCUCAACCGUGGCACUGCAGCGCGAACUGGAGGACUUGAGUACGCACGAGGUAGGCGGAAUUCGUGGUGUAGCGGUGAAAUGCUUAGAUAUCACGAAGAACUCCGAUUGCGAAGGCAGCUUACCGGAGCGCAACUGACGCUGAGGCUCGAAAGCGCGGGUAUCGAACAGGAUUAGAUACCCUGGUAGUCCGCGCGGUAAACGAUGGAUGCCCGCCGUUGGGUUUUAGAAUUCAGCGGCCAAGCGAAAGCGUUAAGCAUCCCACCUGGGGAGUACGCCGGCAACGGUGAAACUCAAAGGAAUUGACGGGGGCCCGCACAAGCGGAGGAACAUGUGGUUUAAUUCGAUGAUACGCGAGGAACCUUACCCGGGCUUGAAUUGCAGGAGAACGAUCCAGAGAUGGUGAGGCCCUUCGGGGCUCCUGUGAAGGUGCUGCAUGGUUGUCGUCAGCUCGUGCCGUGAGGUGUCGGCUCAAGUGCCAUAACGAGCGCAACCCCUGUCCAUAGUUGCCAUCAGGUCGUGCUGGGCACUCUGUGGAGACUGCCGCCGUAAGGUGUGAGGAAGGUGGGGAUGACGUCAAAUCAGCACGGCCCUUACGUCCGGGGCUACACACGUGUUACAAUGGGGCAUACAGCGAGUUGGAUGUGCGCAAGUACGUCCGGAUCAAUAAAGUGCCUUUCAGUUCGGACUGGGGUCUGCAACCCGACCCCACGAAGCUGGAUUCGCUAGUAAUCGCGCAUCAGCCAUGGCGCGGUGAAUACGUUCCC
rnacentral:rRNA from 1 species